UACGUAGGGGGCGAGCGUUGUCCGGAAUUAUUGGGCGUAAAGAGCUCGUAGGCGGUCUGUCGCGUCUGCUGUGAAAACCCGAGGCUCAACCUCGGGCCUGCAGUGGGUACGGGCAGACUAGAGUGCGGUAGGGGAGAUUGGAAUUCCUGGUGUAGCGGUGGAAUGCGCAGAUAUCAGGAGGAACACCAAUGGCGAAGGCAGAUCUCUGGGCCGUAACUGACGCUGAGGAGCGAAAGCAUGGGGAGCGAACAGG
rnacentral:rRNA from 1 species